AUACGGAGGAUGCAAGCGUUAUCCGGAUUUAUUGGGUUUAAAGGGUGCGUAGGCGGUUUGCUAAGCGGGAGGUGAAAUGCCGGCGCUCAACGUCGGAAGUGCCUCCCGAACUGGUGGACUUGAAUGACUCUGCCGUGGGAGGAAUGUGUAGUGUAGCGGUGAAAUGCUUAGAGAUUACACAGAACACCGAUUGCGAAGGCAUCUCACGAAGGGUUGAUUGACGCUGAGGCACGAAAGCGUGGGGAUCAAACAGGAUUAGAUACCCUGGUAGUCCACGCAGUAAACGAUGAUGGCUAACCGCUGGUUUAUUCGGAUCAGUGGCCAAGCGAAAGCGAUAAGCCAUCCACCUGGGGAGUACGACCGCAAGGUUGAAACUCAAAUGAAUUGACGGGG
rnacentral:rRNA from 1 species